ACUUGGAAAGAGAUUUAAAAGCUCUUUGAUCAGUGGUGCUUUCACACUGGAUGAGGUGCCAGUUUCCAGCUGAACAGGUUUCAUAUCGUCUUAGUCUUAGCAAUUGAAUACAUAAUCAUGAUCCAAGGCUAUAAUUCUUUUUGAUUAUUAAUAUUGAUUAUCUGAUUAACUAUGGCCAUGGAAGAUUGAAGCUCAAGUAUUGAAUUGUUUUGCGUUCUUGAACAAAUACUAAUUUUAA